AGCGAACGCUGGCGGCAGGCCUAACACAUGCAAGUCGAGCGCCCCGCAAGGGGAGCGGCAGACGGGAGAGUAACACGUGGGAACGUACCCUUUGGUUCGGAACAACUCAGGGAAACUUGGGCUAAUACCGAAUAAGCCCUUACGGGGAAAGAUUUAUCGCCGAAGGAUCGGCCCGCGUCUGAUUAGCUAGUUGGUGAGGUAACGGCUCACCAAGGCGACGAUCAGUAGCUGGUCUGAGAGGAUGAUCAGCCUCACUGGGACUGAGACACGGCCCAGACUCCUACGGGAGGCAGCAGUGGGGAAUAUUGGACAAUGGGCGCAAGCCUGAUCCAGCCAUGCCGCGUGGGUGAUGAAGGCCCUAGGGUUGUAAAGCCCUUUCGGCGGGGAAGAUAAUGACGGUACCCGCAGAAGAAGCCCCGGCUAACUUCGUGC
rnacentral:rRNA from 1 species